AACUUCUUUAUUCUGUAUAGGUGACGUUUCGACAUAGAUUCUAAUGUCGUUGUCAGAAAGUGGUACAUGAGAGGUAAUUUUGGGUGAUAUAUAUAUAU